GCACACCACCACUGGAGAGACUGCCCAACGAUUCGGCUUGGAUUGAACUCGAAACAAACUGGCUCACUUUUUCUCAGUGAGUGUAAAUAAGGCACUUAAUUUUUUGCGACAGUAGCAAGGUGUCAAAUGAACCCAGAAAACGUAGCAAGAUUGAUGAAGCUUCGUCUUUCCUGCAGAUUUCCAGCCCAUUUUCAACAUGUCUAAGUUGUAAAUGUUUGUGAUUCAAUCUUUUUAAGCCGAUAUCAAGAAAGGAGGAAUGUUUUAUCUAACGUUACAAACAUACUGAAGACUUACAAUAGGCAUGCAACUUUUGGCCCACAAGAUAACCCUAUUUAUAGGAAUUAUUAAAUUAUUAUUAAAGCUCAAAACUACAAUUGGUUCCAAGGAUCUAUUGUGAUACUGUGGAGUCAUCUGCCAUGAACCAGAAAUAUAACCGCAUGAAAAUAUGCUACAGAAACAAGUCAAGUAUAUUAGAAUAAUAUAGUAAUAGUAAUUUUAAUCUGUUUAACUACCCCUGUACAAUGUGCAAUGUGCAAGUAAAAUGAAGUAUUUCCAAAAUGUAUACAUCGUAUUAAAUUCAAAGACGACCGCUCCAGACAACACAAUCAGUUAGCAAAUAUAUUUUAAUAUAUAAUAUAAUAUUUAUAUUCAGAUUAGCACAAUGACAAAACAGCAUUUCAGUUCAGUCUCAUUUAAACCUUGAUAGGUAAGCCACACCAGAAGGACUUUGUUUAACAAUGUACAUCAUAAUAACACGUUUGAAAGGUGUAAAAUACAUCUUUGAUUUUAUUCUCUUUCAAUGAAAGCCAUUUAAACAUGUGUUCAGCCUGUUGCCAUGGCCUCCAGUGGGUUAAUGUAGAAGAGUUUGACGAACGUAAAAGCUGGAGGAUACAUUAACUGAGCUGUUGCCGAAUUUCUUCUUAAAGAAUGACCAAUUUAGACACACAAUCUGACCAACUUCACAACGAAAACAAAAGACAUCACUUGACCACAUGUUUUUAUUGUUCUUCCCACCGACAUUACUAACGUGUGACUAGCCUGAAAGGUGACUUGCAAAACAUGAGGAGCAAAUUUGAACAGCAUGGAAUAGAUGGAUUUCAAACUCAAUUCAAAUGUUAAAUGUUUUCUAAUAUCCACAAUUCAACAAUAGAAUAUGUUUUAAUAUCCCCAUUACAGUAUUUGAGACAUGUUUUAACCUCCCCAUUACCAGAGUUGAAAUGUGUUUUUAAAUCGCCAUUACAAUAAUUGCCACUUUGACACAGAUACAAUUUGAAUUUUCCACAAAGGAGAAAUAAUCGUUAUUAAUCAUGUUUGCUUGACUUUGCUUGACUGAGUUAAUGGCAUUUUCAUUCAAAAUCAAGUUCCUCUUGUAAUCUAUCCAACAGAAUGUACCAGCUGUCCUCUUGGAGUCCACUCAAACACACACAUUAACCAACCAAUCAAAGCGAUCCAUCUAUCCAUCAAGCAACUUAUCUAUGCCACUGGGAAUCAAUUUAUCAAUCUUCUACACACCACUGUACUACCAAUGAUCCUAGUCUUCGGUCAGUUGUCAACAUUACCUCUACGGUCUACUGCUUGGAAAAGAAGAUGACCUAAACAGGAGGCUUUAAACAAUGGCAGACCUGGCAAGGACCGGCAACAAAAGAGAUUGUUCAAUGUCUCGCCAUUAAAGCAGAGAUUACAACGUUUCUUAUUAGAGCAGUGGUGAAUUCAAAACAAAAUGGCCCCUUUUUGAAGGACAAAUGUCAUCGUCAUUUCAUCCAAAAUUUACAUUGAACACUAAAUCUUCUCUUCCAUCACACUCCCUACUUAUAGUGGUUAUAGUGGUUAAGGCCAGCAUCAAGUUGCACAAUGUUAGCCUCAUUCAUGAUCCUCACAAGAUCCCAACACAACACAACUCUAUUCACGCUACCUCUACUAUUUUAUAGCAUUCUGUGCAAGACCUGCCACGUUUGAUCAUGUAUUUAUCACAUCCACCUCCACCUCCUUAAACUGUAAGCAAAUCACUAAAAUCAAACUUCAGGGACCAGUCAUACAUACUAUCAGAAUUGACAUCACCUGCCAUUGACUUAGCCACACAAAAAACAUAAUUGUCUUCUUUCUCCUAUUGUUAUCUCCUGAGCCUUCUUGAAAUCUUGUAACAUAAUUCUUUAAUAUUUAAUAUUUAAAAUCCUCUUAGAACCAAAAACUCAAAAGCUCAACUGGCGUUUGCUAGCCACAUUUACAGAUCUAGUUUGCGAGCCACGUUUAGAAGUUGUGAAUCUCAUGUGUUUUUAACCUGUUUUUCUCUGAUAUCUAUAUCCUACUAGUUUUAGGAUCAUAACCAUUUCUUUCAAAUACUGUAUAGGAACUGGUGUCUAGAAAAAACGAAAAAUACAUGCUUCCAAAUCCACUAGCUGUUCGUUACCACAAUCAGCUAAUGUUGCCUAGCAUCACUUUGUGCCCCAUACGCCUCAACACUGAGCGAACACCCGUUGAACACUCACAUGAUGCAAGAGGAACCCGCUGGAUCACAAUAGAGAUCACGGCAAAGCAUAAUGAUACGACUAAACCAUGAUAACAUUAUAUUAGCGCUGUAGCCUGACUGCUCUGAAUUCAAAAGGUUUAACAAUGGCGGUCUAAUUGUAGAUAAGCAAACAUAUUUUAAUUCCCGUUAAUUAAUUGUUUUCCGAUUAGUACGCCAUCAGGAUACCUAAAAAACAACAUAGAGGCAUUAAAUAAAUUAAUCAAUCACAAAACACAUUGAUAUAUAUAUAUUCACAAACCAUUUGUACAAUCUAGUCCGAAGGAACAGCAUAGCUGUUAUGCUUUAGGGAGUAUGAUAUUGGUGGAUGGGAUUUGCUUAGAAUCGUUGGUAACUAUUGUCAUGCUCUGUAUAGUUUGAACAAUUAUCUAUAGCUCUUAGUUAUUGUUGUUAUUAUGUACUCAGUCAGGAUGCACUUGGUACAUUGAAAUCCAAAUGUUGACGUUGUUUGCAGCUGAUAUGUUGAUACAUUAUGUGUAAUGGCUGCAGAACAAGACUUCUCAAGUGGACAUUUGGAUGUAGGCUCUCUGUUUUCAGCCUUGAUACACACUAAUGCACAAGCCUGUGUCUGAAAAACAUAAACAAAUAUAAUUGGAUGUCCAAGUUUUUGGUUGCGAUGUUUCCAUGCAUGCUUUUCGCUGUCGUACUACAAGCCCUGGCUCUGUGAACAUAUAUGCAUUGCACGACACCUACAACCAAUGACAGAUGUAUUCUAUUAGAAUUGAGAUGAAACGGCCCCAAUUUUGUGACAUCACAAGUGGGAGUGUUCGCCCAGGAGUAUGAAGGACAGAUCAACCUACCAGCCUUCUUGAUACAGUCCACUGAAUAGGGCUCUACGGAGAUUUGUCACAUACAUUUGAAAUCACAAGUUGCUAUUCAAAAAGCAUUUUAAACAUUGUGUAAAAUGGAAUAUAACGACAAAUUGAAUCCCAAGACCAAACAUCUAUGCUCAUGCUAUGAAAUAAAAACGCCUUGGUGUUAUAUAUCCAUGGUAACUCACUGUUCAACAGCAACUGUGGAAUUCUUUCUGAUAAUAAUGUCCUUGUUUACCAAUGCCUGUUUGCUACAGGCCAUAGCAGUGAAAUACUGCUUCUGGUUCGAGUCCAUGUCGAGUGGUGUCACAGAUUGCAGUUGGAGAGUUUUUUAUUCAGCAGACGCAGUAUAGUUGGGCAGUACUCUGUCUGCCCUUGAUAGGCAUAUUCUGAACUAAUAAUUCAUCAGAUUUCUGGAGUAUGUACAUGAAAUGUCAUAAAUACAUGCCCUUAACAUAAUCAGAAACAGUUGACUGUAAAAUCAUACUUGUAACAAUGUUUAGAAAAGAAAUAGUUAGCUAAUUUGUCGCUGCCAAGAAAUUGAAAAUUGAAUGAAUUGUGAUAGGCCUACUUAAUUGAAUUUAAAAGCGUCUUAGAUGUCUUGGAAUUUGAAGACAUUUUAGAUGGGUUGAUUAGUUUGGUAUGUUUUUGCCCUUGAAUGAAUGGAUGCACAUCUCUUGUGACGUUCUCCAUUUAUAAAACACAAGAGAAAAUAGUUAUAGCGGACAGACGACUGGUUUCCCCCCCCUUUGCUUUACAAGUUAAAAAAUCCCAUUUAGUGGCUAACGUUUUAACGUAAGCAGAGCAAAAGGCUUCAUAUAUAACAUCAACUUAAAUGCAUAGAAAUACAAAUCAAUCCAAUCGUACAACACACUAUAUGGCAAGCAAUACAGAAUACAACAUCCCCGAUCACAGCUACUGGGAAGCUUCAAAAUAAAAGUCUUGGUCAUUGGCACUGGGAACAGGUGAAGGUGUAACUGUUGCAUAUACAUACUGAAGGGAAAAUGGGCUCUUUUGGGGGGAGGUGCAAUCUACCUUGACCUAACCAGACAUUAUGCGUUUUUUGUUUGUUUUUCGUAUUAAAGUCGCAAUGAUGUGUACAUUUCAGCUAGCUCGUAGCUUACCAUAACUGGGAUAUAUCUUUAGUCAGAGCGGACCGAUAGUGUCUUCAAUAAUGCUAACCCACCUACUAACUUGGAGGGGCAUCAUCUAACAUAACAUUGUGAUUUUCAAUCCAAACUCAAACAUGGGACUUUAACACUGAAAUAGAGCCACAUUACAUCUCUGAGAAACACCCAAGUACAACACCGAAGUCCUUCGUUGUCGUUCCAGACUUCCAGUAUCGAUAAACGUACUACUGUCUAAAAAAGUGAGUGGAUUAUUGUUGUUAUCAUUUUUAUUUCCUUUCAAGGAAUGCACGCCAUGUGUCUGUCAAAGGCAAAACAGGACUACAUUGGACGCAAUCUUUCUCACAGUUCAGACAUAU